rnacentral:lncRNA from 1 species
CAGAUCACAGAACAGAUCUCCAACAGCAAUGAUGAUCUUGAGAGAGAAAUUGAAGACUUGAAACAACAAAAACAACAACUUGAGGACAUGUUGGAGAUACAUUCUUGCAAAAAACAACGAAACUCUGAUGAACCUUGCGAAGAAAAUAAAGAAAAUAACGGAGAUGAUUAAUGUCAUGUUUGUCAGGACUUAAAGUCUUCAUGAGAAAUGUUGGUAUAAAUCUAAAAAAACGACAAGCUCUCAUGGCACAACAGCUGCCAACUGUACUUGGCGCAUGGCCAUAAUAACGUGUUUAUCACUUCAUUUAUGGUUCAAAAGGUUCCCGCCACCAACAAACUUCUGGUUCUCUAGUACAGUGCUGUUAAAACUACUCAGUGUCUUAAUAAUGUGAGCUAAAGAAAUCUGUACUCAGUAAUGUACUUGGUACGUUGGUGAAAGACGUGACGACUGUCAAUAAACUACACCCUUCCGGAAAGCAUUUAUUUUAGUUAUGGCUGUAGUAGUAUACACAUGUAGAGCCUUUUUUUCCGCAAUUGAGAGUCGCUUUUUCAGACCUUAUUUCCUGUUGCUGAUGACAUAAUCCUAAACAGAUUUUUCAUGUUCACUGAAAUUCACUGCUAUAACAUACGGUGUAUGGUUUCGUAAAUAUGUCAUUAGUAACAAGGUAAUUUACUGUAGGUAAAGGACUCUUAACCCAAUACUCAUAGGCAUAGCGGACGUGACAAAAUCACACGCUAAAUUCAGUGUCAGCAACACGAGUAAAAACGAUGGAUUCUUUUUGUAAACAAAGACCAGAUAGAGGUGAAAAAUACCUAUACAGCACAAUGUCAUGUGUGCUUUAAUCUCAAUCACGUAAUAUUUCAAUAAUAUCUCAGUCGUAAUAUCUCAAUCACGAAAACGAAGCUCUAUAGCCAAGAGUCAAGACUGAACAUUUUCCGGAAGGGUGAAUUUACGUUGUAUUGAACUACCUGUAUUGAACUACCUUAUUAUUUAACCCUUCAAGUGGAAAUGCGCCCCACAUCGGUACUUUAUUCUAUCUAACGCCAGACGAGUUUACUCGUCAAGUGAAAAGUGGUGCCAGGUUGUUCCAAAGCCGAUUGACUUAACCCUAGGUUCGCCUUAAAUUAAAAGCAAACUUACCAACAACUUGUUUAUAAAUUUUGAAAUAUUUCUUCAGAAAUCUUGUCUGGAUCAGUAGGAGUUUUCUUCUCUGAAGUUUUGAAAUAAACAGACAAGAUUAACGUUAACUCUGCAUGGGUCAAAUUUUAACCCAGGGUUUAAUAGCGUUAAUCCAGCUUUGACCAACCCGCCCCUAAACAAUUGUCAUUUGGGACAAAUAUAAUUGGGAUUUUUGAAAAGAGUAGGUUGUUUCAAUACAGUGCUCACUGAUUGCUAGUCAUGUACUUCAUGUAUUGUAUUUAGCAUUAUAAAGCAUGAAUGUUUGCUAGAAAUAAUGGUUUCAUUUUAUGAAAGGUCAUGACACAGAAUAAGGUACACAGAAGGCCGACUUCUUGGUUUUUCCUAUGAUUUUCCUAUGAUUUUCUUAUGAUUUUGGCGUAACCCGUAAUUCGUCAUCAAAUGCUGACGCCAUGGUCCUAGCCAGUGCGCGUUUGAGAGGCAUUCACCCCCCUGAUAAUAUUCAAAAUGGCGGAUGUCCAGGGGGGGAUGCCUCUGAUACGCGCACUGGCUAGGACCAUGGCGUCAGCAUUUUCAUGAUGAAUCAUGGCGUGGCAGCGGUUACUCGAGUCACAGAAUAGAUACCGGACCAGAAGUGUCACUCCUAUUUGUUUUGGCUGAAGGAAAACGUCCGAAAUUUUUUUACGUGCUAUGACGCCAUCCUGGAGUGCACCCGGCACUUUGUACCUAUGUUUUCCUAUGAAAAACUUCCGUGUGCACUCCAGGAUGGCGUCAUAUGAUGGCGUAUUUUCACGUCAGCACUCGUAAAAUUUCGGACAAAAUAUCGUCUGAGUGACACUUCUGGUCCUGUAUCUAUUCUGUGCUCGAGUCGACCUUCUGUGUACCUUAUUCUGUGGUCAUGAGGAAUAAUUCAAACUGCCAACCUCGUUCCCAGGGCCUGUUUUGAAAGGCCCUGGGAACGAGGUUGUCAAACUGCGUGUAAAAUAAAACAACGAGGAAAACAUGUAAAGAUAUAUGUAUAAAAUUGUAAAUUCUUUAAGAGAUUAUAUAUACUAUAGAUGAUUUAUAUUGUAGAUUUAUUUAUAUUUUAAUGAUAAAUAAAAAUAUUUGUACGGUUAAUUGGUGUUUGCUUUCAAUAGUGAUAUAUACGAGCGAAAAUACAGUCAAUUUGCAAUAUAGCUUAUUUAGGCUUAGCUUUCAACCCUCUGCUUGUACGAGUCGAUCGCGACUUAUUUUAGCCGCGGCUAAUUUCCGCUCGUAUAAAUGGCCCCAAUUUAAUCAUGGAUUGUUAAAAAAAUAGUGUUUUUUCGUGCUUUAAUUUUACAAUACAUGAUUUAAUUAAGUUUGCGUGAUUGC